rnacentral:rRNA from 1 species
GUGAGGAAUAUUGCGCAAUGGAGGCAACUCUGACGCAGCCAUGCCGCGUGCAGGAAGAAGGCGCUACGCGUUGUAAACUGCUUUUAACCGGGAAGAAACCCCAGGACGUGUCCUGGGUUGACGGUACCGGAGGAAUAAGCACCGGCUAACUUCGUGCCAGCAGCCGCGGUAAUACGAAGGGUGCAAGCGUUAUCCGGAUUCAUUUGGUUUAAAGGGUGCGUAGGCGGAGCGUUAAGUCAGUGGUGAAAUCCUGCAGCUUAACUGUAGACUUGCCAUUGAUACUGGCGCUCUUGAGUGCGCUUGAAGUGGGCGGAAUGUGCCGUGUAGCGGUGAAAUGCUUAGAUAUGGCACAGAACACCAAUUGCGAAGGCAGCUCACUAAGGCGAUACUGACGCUGAGGCACGAAAGCGUGGGGAGCAAACAGGAUUAGAUACCCCUGUAGUCC